AGAAAAGACUUUCGCUGCAUGCAUAUUUAAUGUAUGACGUCACCCACACAGAGUGAGAGUUCGAGGUUUUCUUUGAAAGUUUGAUGGAGAAUGUACAGAGACUUGUCGCAGUUAAUGCAGUACCAAAUGCUUGCUUUCUUGGAGUAUGUGCUUGAAACAAGAAUGUCCUGGAGAAAACAGACCACCACAAGAGAAGGGAUUGAAAAGGAGGGCUUCCUGUUGAGAGAUCAUGGGGUGCCUUGAGGUUCCAGUCUUGAUGUUCUGCCCCUUACCUCAAAGCGAUGGCCUCUUGUGCCUGACAUAUUAGGAGCAAAGCACAAUGGACUGCUGGCUUAUUGGAAUUGGUUACAAAGAUGCAAGUGGACUUGUCUGUA